AUUGAACGCUGGCGGCAUGCCUUACACAUGCAAGUCGAACGGUAACAGGUCUUCGGAUGCUGACGAGUGGCGAACGGGUGAGUAAUACAUCGGAACGUGCCUAGUAGUGGGGGAUAACUACUCGAAAGAGUGGCUAAUACCGCAUGAGAUCUACGGAUGAAAGCAGGGGAUCGCACGACCUUGUGCUACUAGAGCGGCCGAUGGCAGAUUAGGUAGUUGGUGGGAUAAAAGCUUACCAAGCCGACGAUCUGUAGCUGGUCUGAGAGGACGAUCAGCCACACUGGGACUGAGACACGGCCCAGACUCCUACGGGAGGCAGCAGUGGGGAAUUUUGGACAAUGGGCGCAAGCCUGAUUCAGCAAUGCCGCGUGCAGGAUGAAGGCCUUCGGGUUGUAAACUGCUUUUGUACGGAACGAAAAGCCCUGGGUUAAUACCCUGGGGUCAUGACGGUACCGUAAGAAUAAGCACCGGCUAACUACGUGCCAGCCGCCGCAGUAAAAC
rnacentral:rRNA from 1 species